UACGUAGGUGGCAAGCGUUGUCCGGAUUUACUGGGCGUAAAGAGCGCGCAGGCGGUCGGAUUAGUCGCGUGUGAAAGCCCCCGGCUCAACUGGGGAGGGUCACGCGAUACUGUUCGACUCGAAGGCAGGAGAGGGAAGUGGAAUUCCCGGUGUAGUGGUGAAAUGCGUAGAUAUCGGGAGGAACACCAGUGGCGAAGGCGACUUCCUGGCCUGUUCUUGACGCUGAGGAGCGAAAGCGUGGGGAGCGAACAGG
rnacentral:rRNA from 1 species